AUUAUUUUAUCCUUAUGUUUAUUUAUUACCAAAAUAUUUAAGAAAAACGAUGAAAUUUUUUUUGUAACUCAAUUUUUUUCAAAGCAGUUGUGAAUUUUGACACAAAAUGUUCAUUUAUCACGAUGUAUUACGGUAUAGGACCGUCUCUACACGAACAACCAACAGACCCUGGUACAAAACAUCGUAUGAAAAUAUCUCAAAAAAAAAAAUUCCUCAAAUCUUCGUAUCGCUUCCGAAAUCCGACAACGUCGCAUAUUUAUUUUUUUAACCUUUCCGACUUACCCCAAUUUGGUGGUAUCGCCAGCGCCAUGACACGUCAGAAGAUCCGCCGGUCCUAAACCUCUCGAUUUCCAAUUUUGAUAAAUAGCCUCUGCUUGAUCCGAUAUUUGUUUAGCGAUAGCGGCGAUGUCAUCGUCGGGAUCCCUUCUGCGAGCAGUUGUGGCCAUCAUAAAAUUAUUUUAGGUUAAUUUUAAUAACGACCACGUCAGCCCCGCCUACUGCGAAGAUUCAAGAAAGGCCUGCUCAUACUUGAUAGUUGUAUCGCUGAAACGAAAGAAAAAUCGCGUUAUCUUUCAGCGUUGUACCAAUUUUAGAAAAAAGAAAA